rnacentral:rRNA from 1 species
CCUACGGGUGGCAGCAGUGAGGAAUAGUGGUCAAUGGACGAGAGUCUGAACCAGCCAAGUAGCGUGAAGGAUGACUGCCCUAUGGGUUGUAAACUUCUUUUAUAAAGGAAUAAAACGAGGCACGUGUGCGUUUUUGCAUUUACUUUAUGAAUAAGGAUCGGCUAACUCCGUGCCAGCAGCCGCGGUAAUACGGAGGAUCCGAGCGUUAUCCGGAUUUAUUGGGUUUAAAGGGAUCGUAGGUGGGUUGUUAAGUCAGUUGUGAAAGUUUGCGGCUCAACCGUAAAAUUGCAGUUGAUACUGGCAGUCUUGAGUACAGUUGAGGUAUGCGGAAUUCGUGGUGUAGCGGUGAAAUGCUUAGAUAUCACGAAGAACCCCGAUUGCGAAGGCAGCUCACUAAACUGCGACUGACAUUGAUGCUCGAAAGUGUGGGUAUCAAACAGGAUUAGAUACCCGUGUAGUC